GAUGAAGAACGUAGCGAAAUGCGAUAAGUAAUGCGAAUUGCAGAAUUCAGUGAGUCAUCGAAUCUUUGAACGCACAUUGCGCCCGCCAGUAUUCUGGCGGGCAUGCCUGUCCGAGCGUCAUUUCAACCAUCAAGCCCCGGGCUUGUGUUGGGGACCUGCGUCCGACGCAGGCCCUGAAAACCAGUGGCGGGCUCGCUGUCCACACCGAGCGUAGUAACUAACCUCGCUAUGGAGUGGCGCGGGCGCCUGCCGUAAAACCCCCAAUUUCACAAGGUUGACCUCGGAUCAGGUAGGAAUACCCGCUGAACUUAAGCAUAUCAAUAAGCGGAGGA
rnacentral:misc_RNA from 1 species